GGUUGUGGCUCGGUGGUAGAGUGCUCGCCUAGCAUGGGUGAGACACUGGGUUCUAUCCUCAGCACCA
rnacentral:tRNA from 1 species